AGAAGCCAAGCGCGCACACGGCGAUCUCGGGCCGCCCCCCGCCGGCUCCCCGCCGCUGACUGGGUGCUCACUUUAAUGCUGCGGGGAGCCCGGGAGCCCGGGGGCGCCUCGCUCCCCGUUCCCUCCCCAUCCCGUUAGGACUCUUGGCCUGGGGUCCUCAUCCCGGACCGCCCGGCUUUGUGUGCUGGCCCCGUCACCGCCACAGCCGGAGGCACGUCACAAAUCCGAGGAGCGGCCGACAGGACAGCCCUGGUCCCGGGCUCUUGGCGGAUCCCGGUCGGAUGCAACGCGCCGAGCCGCGCCCGCGGGGCUGCGGAUAGACCGGCCGGGGCAAGUCCCUAAGCUCUUCGGAUGUCCCCAACUCGGAGAGGGCUUGUGUUUGUUUUAACUGCCGGACUCCUCUUCCCACCGGAAUGCCUACUCUGGGUUCUAAAAGAGGAUCUCAGCUGAUUUCCCACUUGCUGCUACUUUAUUUUGGUGUCUAAAGGCUGAUCAGAACUUCAGGGAGCGCCCGACUCCGCUCUAAGGCCAGCGGUGCCCAGAAGUUCAAAGGACUCAGGGCGGGGCUUGGAGGGCGGAGCCAGGACUACCCUGGCUAGAAGAUAAGAAUUCAGGAUUAACUUUAGUCAAGACCACUCUGAUGCCAGCUUACCAAAGCUACUGGCCAACAUCGUGGUGGUGGUGGUGGGGGAGUCUCCCAGUGAUUUUACUGCUCCACAUGGAGAGGUACAGCUUUGUCCUCAACAGUCAUAUUAGGUGUUUCUAAGAAAGACAAUGAAGUUCAUGGAGGAAGUAUGGGGGGUUGGGGGGGCAGGUUAGUAUUUUGUUUGAGACAGGUCUCACUAUGUUGCUCUGUCUGGCCUGGAACUCACUGUGUAGACCAAGCAUCCUGAGUGCUGAUACAAACGGCGUGCGCCUCCACAAUGAGCAGAAGUGUGCAUCAAGUGAGCAACAAAAGACAUGAGGACUGGAAGCCGCCUUGAAGGCUGCUCUGACUGCAUUGUUAGUGGCUGUCCCUAGACAAGUGCAAGCCCCUGGGACUGUGGGAAAGACUGUAACAGGAUAUUGAUAUUUAUUGAGGUAAGGGCUCAUGAGAUCUCUCUCAUACUUGGAUCUUGAAGGGUUUAUGAUACUUAGGUAGGCCCAGAAGCACACAGUAUGGAAGAGCUAAUUCUAACUCCUCGAAAGCCUUGGAUCCCCUGGGGAAAGGUCACUAGGGGCUUGAUUAGGUCAAAUUAACAACCCAGAACUUUCAGAAGAGGCGGGAUCACACUGCCUGCAGUUGUCAGUAAGAACCGGAAACCCUUGCAACUGUCUUUUCUCUAAUUUGUCUAAGACCCUUUGGGGGUGCCUGGUUUUCUAUAACUAAGAGUUUAUCUCU
rnacentral:lncRNA from 1 species